GCGAAUGCCUGUCCAGCGUCGGCGGUAUUACUUGGGGUGCGGGCUGUGUCCUGAAGUAGUGGGCGGAAAGGUCUUGUAGGCGGUUUGUCGCGUCUGCAGUGAACAUCCGGGGCUCAACCCCGGACUUGCUGUGGGUACGGGCAGACUAGAGUAUGGUAGGGGAGACCGGAAUUCCUGGUGUAGCGGUGGAAUGCGCAGAUAUCAGGAGGAACACCGAUGGCGAAGGCAGGUCUCUGGGCCAUAACUGACGCUGAGAAGCGAAAGCAUGGGGAGCGAACAGGAUUAGAUACCCGAGUAGUC
rnacentral:rRNA from 1 species